AUGCACGCUGGCGGCGUGCCUCAUACAUGCCAGUCGAGCGAACGGACGAGAAGCUUGCUUCUCUGAUGUUAGCGGCGGACGGGUGAGUAACACGUGGAUAACCUACCUAUAAGACUGGGAUAACUUCGGGAAACCGGAGCUAAUACCGGAUAAUAUUUUGAACCGCAUGGUUCAAAAGUGAAAGACGGUCUUGCUGUCACUUAUAGAUGGAUCCGCGCUGCAUUAGCUAGUUGGUAAGGUAACGGCUUACCAAGGCAACGAUGCAUAGCCGACCUGAGAGGGUGAUCAGCCACACUGGAACUGAGACACGGUCCAGACUCCUACGGGAGGCAGCAGUAGGGAAUCUUCCGCAAUGGGCGAAAGCCUGACGGAGCAACGCCGCGUGAGUGAUGAAGGUCUUCGGAUCGUAAAACUCUGUUAUUAGGGAAGAACAUAUGUGUAAGUAACUGUGCACAUCUUGACGGUACCUAAUCAGAAAGCCACGGCUAACUACGUG
rnacentral:rRNA from 1 species